CAGCAGCCGCGGUAAUACGGAGAGGGCUAGCGUUGUUCGGAAUUACUGGGCGUAAAGCGCACGUAGGCGGCGAUUUAAGUCAGAGGUGAAAGCCCGGGGCUCAACCCCGGAACUGCCUUUGAGACUGGAUUGCUAGAAUCUUGGAGAGGCGGGUGGAAUUCCGAGUGUAGAGGUGAAAUUCGUAGAUAUUCGGAAGAACACCAGUGGCGAAGGCGGCCCGCUGGACAAGUAUUGACGCUGAGGUGCGAAAGCGUGGGGAGCAAACAGGAUUAGAUACCCGCGUAGUCCCUGUCUCUUAUAA
rnacentral:rRNA from 1 species